rnacentral:rRNA from 1 species
AGUGAACGCUGGCGGUAGGCCUAACACAUGCAAGUCGAACGGCAGCACAGUAAGAGCUUGCUCUUACGGGUGGCGAGUGGCGGACGGGUGAGGAAUACAUCGGAAUCUACUUUUUCGUGGGGGAUAACGUAGGAAAACUUACGCUAAUACCGCAUACGACCUACGGGUGAAAGCAGGGGAUCUUCGGACCUUGCGCGAUUGAAUGAGCCGAUGUCGGAUUAGCUAGUUGGCGGGGUAAAGGCCCACCAAGGCGACGAUCCGUAGCUGGUCUGAGAGGAUGAUCAGCCACACUGGAACUGAGACACGGUCCAGACUCCUACGGGAGGCAGCAGUGGGGAAUAUUGGACAAUGGGCGCAAGCCUGAUCCAGCCAUACCGCGUGGGUGAAGAAGGCCUUCGGGUUGUAAAGUCCUUUUGUUGGGAAAGAAAAGCAGCAGGUUAAUACCCCGCUGUUCUGACGGUACCCAAAGAAUAAGCACCGGCUAACUUCGUG